UACAGAGGGUGCGAGCGUUGUUCGGAAUUAUUGGGCGUAAAGAGCGUGUAGGCGGCCUGAAAGGUCAGCUGUGAAAACUCGAGGCUCAACCUCGAGACGUCGGUUGAAACCAUCUGGCUAGAGUCCGGAAGAGGAGUGUGGAAUUCCCGGUGUAGCGGUGAAAUGCGCAGAUAUCGGGAAGAACACCCGUGGCGAAGGCGGCACUCUGGGACGGUACUGACGCUGAGACGCGAAAGCGUGGGGAGCGAACAGG
rnacentral:rRNA from 1 species